rnacentral:misc_RNA from 1 species
AACGCACGAGACCUGCGGACCUGCGGAAGGAUCAUUACCGAGUUUACAACUCCCAAACCCCUGUGAACAUACCACUCGUUGCCUCGGCGGAUCACCGCGCCCCGUGAAACGGGCCGGCCCGCCAGAGGACCUAAACUCAAAUGUUUUAUUGUAUCUUCUGAGUAAAAACACAAAUAAAUCAAAACUUUCAACAACGGAUCUCU